UGGGGAAUAUUGGACAAUGGGGGCAACCCUGAUCCAGCGAUGCCGCGUGAGUGAAGAAGGCCUUCGGGUCGUAAAGCUCUUUAGGUUGGGAAGAAGGGUAUGAGGUUAAUAACCUUGUACUUUGACGGUACCGACAGAAUAAGCACCGGCAAACUCUGUGCCAGCAGCCGCGGUAAUACAGAGGGUGCGAGCGUUAAUCGGAAUUACUGGGUGUAAAGGGCGCGUAGGCGGUAAGAUGUGUGUGGUGUGAAAGCCCCGGGCUUAACCUGGGAAGUGCAUCGCAAACUAUCUAACUAGAGUAUAUGAGAGGGUGGCGGAAUUUCCGGUGUAGCGGUGAAAUGCGUAGAGAUCGGAAGGAACGUCAAUGGCGAAGGCAGCCACCUGGCAUAAUACUGACGCUGAGGCGCGAAAGCGUGGGGAGCGAACA
rnacentral:rRNA from 1 species